CACAUAUCAUCGGGGGAGAACUUCGGUUCUCCUGUCUGAACCCUUGUCUUUUGCGUACUAUUUGUUUCCUUGGUGGGCUUGCCUGCCGAUAGGACAACCAUUAAACCUUUUGUAAUUGCAAUCAGCGUCAGAAAAAACAUAAUAAUUACAACUUUCAACAACGGAUCUCUUGGUUCUGGCAUCGAUGAAGAACGCAGCGAAAUGCGAAAAGUAGUGUGAAUUGCAGAAUUCAGUGAAUCAUCAAAUCUUUGAACGCACAUUGCGCCCCUUGGUAUUCCAUGGGGCAUGCCUGUUCGAGCGUCAUUUGUACCUUCAAGCUCUGCUUGGUGUUGGGUGUUUGUCCCGCUUUUUUGCGUGGACUCGCCUCAAAGCAAUUGGCAGCCGGCGUACUAGCCUGGGAGCGCAGCACAUUUUGCGCAUCUCGACUUGAACGCUUGCAUCCAUCAAGUUACUUUUUAACUCUUGACCUCGGAUCAGGUAGGAUACCCGCUGAACUUAAGCU
rnacentral:misc_RNA from 1 species